GUGCUUGCCUAGACAGUACAUAUCCUAAAAUUAGAAUGAUACAGAGAUUAGUAUGGCCGUGUGCAAGGAUGAUACUCAAAUCUGUGAAAUGUUCCUUGCUUAA